rfam:Myotis brandtii contig153774, whole genome shotgun sequence.
GGCCAUUCUUGGGUGAUACAACCUGGAAUCGGGCUCUUUCCUCUCUGGUUCUGGGUGCGUCACCUGAGAACCGCA